rnacentral:rRNA from 1 species
UACGUAGGGGGCAAGCGUUGUCCGGAAUCAUUGGGCGUAAAGCGCGUGUAGGCGGUCCGGUAAGUCCGCUGUGAAAGUCGGGGGCUCAACCCUCGGAUGCCGGUGGAUACUGUCGGGCUUGAGUACGGAAGAGGCGAGUGGAAUUCCUGGUGUAGCGGUGAAAUGCGCAGAUAUCAGGAGGAACACCAAUUGCGAAGGCAGCUCGCUGGGACGUUACUGACGCUGAGACGCGAAAGCGUGGGUAGCAAACAGG